rnacentral:snRNA from 1 species
AUGCUUGCUUUGGCAGCACAUAUACUAAAAUUGGCAUGAUACAGAGAAGAUUAGCAUUGCCCCUGCACAAAGAUGACACCCAAAUUUGUGAAGUGUUCCAUAUUUUC